ACGCUGAGACACGAAAGCGUGGGGAGCAACCAGGAUUAGAUACCCUGGUAGUCCACGCUGUAAACGAUGAAUGCUAGGUGUGGGGACGUAAGUUUCCGUGCCGGGAGUUAACACAAUAAGCAUUCCACCUGGGGAGUACGGCCGCAAGGUUGAAACUCAAAGGAAUUGACGGGAGCCCGCACAAGCAGUGGAGUAUGUGGUUUAAUUCGACGCAACGCGAAGAACCUUACCAGGAUUUGACAUCCCGAGAAGCCGGCGUAAUGGCUGGUGUGCCCUUCGGGGAAUUCGGAGACAGGUGGUGCAUGGUUGUCGUCAGCUCGUGUCGUGAGAUGUUGGGUUAAGUCCCGCAACGAGCGCAACCCUUAUGUUCAGUUGCUACGCAAGAGCACUCUGGACAGACUGCCGUUGACAAAACGGAGGAAGGCGGGGAUGACGUCAAAUCAUCAUGCCCCUUACAUUCUGGGCUACACACGUACUACAAUGGCGAAAACAAAGGGAAGCGAUACCGCGAGGUGGAGCAAACCCCAUAAAAGUCGUCCCAGUUCGGACUGCAGGCUGCAACCCGCCUGCACGAAGUUGGAAUUGCUAGAAUCGCGGAUC
rnacentral:rRNA from 1 species